CUCCUGACAAAGCCAGAGCUCCUUUCAGGAGGUUCUCUCAUAUCACUGCAAGUCUCACUGGCUGCUGGUGACAGCGCCCUCCCUUUAUCCUUUCAAGCCCAGAUAGCAGCUGUUGCUGGUCCAGGAUUUUGAACUAUCUCUGGGUGAGACCAAGAAAAAGGCAGAAGAGAGAUGAGGAUGCACUCCUAAGAGAAGACUACCUGAAAGGCGUGUACACUGGUCUAGCAGUUGAGGUCAGCUAGUGUUCCAUCUAUCUUCUGUCAUGUCUUUUCUAGGUCAUCAUUCUAGGCUUUGUUGAAGCAUGCAUUUUUGGCAUGAGGGUGGCAGCCUUUGCACUAUGUGCAUGGCUGAGGAGUUAGGAUCUGGAGGGUGAUGAAAGGUAAGUUGUACUUGGUAAAUUGCAUUAUCUUUUCUGCAA
rnacentral:lncRNA from 1 species